GUCAUGAACCCCCGGAUGAAUCCGGGGAGCUUGCAGCCGGAACUCAGGGGUUCUGGAGUGCAAGCCCCGAUCAUGUCCAGCCCCAGCGUCCAAUGGCGCAGGUAGCCAGGUGCGGACGCUCCGUUCGAUAGGUCAUGGCACCCAGGGACGCCUCCUCAAUCCCUGGCUCUGCCGUCCAGGGUUAAAAGUCCUCUCGGGGUAGGGAGUGUGCUCUGGACCCGACAAGCCUGUUGAACAUGGGCGAGAGGAGCGUCCU
rfam:Ktedonobacter sp. 13_2_20CM_53_11 13_2_20cm_scaffold_3437, whole genome shotgun sequence.